ACCGUCGUGCGCGCCGCUGCGGCAUGAGCAGCGACGACGACGACGACGACCUGUAGCGCACCAUCACCGUCCGCCGCCACAGCCGCCGACUUGGGUCCAACGACGGAGGCAGCACACCACAGCGGCCCGCGACGCGGUUUCCGGCGGCGGGGCGACCAUGAGUUUUGAAACGCCCUGAAAAUCGCAACAGUCUCGCUAAGUCCUUUCGCUGUACACUACUACAUGGACCAAAUGGGAUUUUCAUAUAUUUUCAAAAACAAACAUAACUCAUUUUAUUUCUUAAUAAAUUGUUCAAAUAAUAUAAUAUAUAUAUGAUGUAUAUAAUAUGGACAUCAUAUGAAGGUAUGUAACAUUUCGCUCUUAUAUCGAUUAUCAUCGAUUUAUAUAUGACGAGGUACUGCAGUUCAACAUUACUUCGUACAAAAAAAAAAUAGUCAGCAACUACGAUCUUUUCGAUAGCUAAUUCUACGAUAUUGUAAAUAACUUAUUUAUUCGGUUAAUAUUUUUAGUUAAUCAAUUAAUUACGAAUUUAAAAAUAUAAAAAUAAAUUAUUUUAAAUUAUGUAACGAAAUUUUACUAUAUUUAAACAUAAUAUAUAAUUUAUAUCAAAAACGCGUAGCUAUAUUGUAUCUUACAUCACUUUCUAAGGUGCACAUGUAGAUAAAUUAUUGUUUUUUUUUUUUUAAACAUGGCUGUGAUAAAAUAAUUUUUUGCGAUCCCUAUACUUUUUCCCCUCGGUUUUUAUCUAAAAUGUUGUCAACAAAUACCGUGGGACUUAAAACUACAGGGCCAGCAAUUAACUUUUUAUUGGAAAAAAUGCAUAGUUGAAAUAUAAAUUUAUUGUUUUUCAAUAUACUAUAAUUAUUUCCUAUUUAUACUAUUAAACUACUACAGCAUAUUAUGCAAACAUUCAACUUAACUUUACUAACAAAAAUGAAUUUUCUUUGAAACUGUACUAAAAUAUUAUAGUGAACUAUAAAUAUACAAUAAAUAACUUUUACGUGUGCUUAAUACAUGAACUUAUACUAUGAUAAUACAUGAACCAUACGGAUUUUUAGUUUAGAAAAACGUAUCUAUUAACAUAACUGGACAUAGCAGAUACAUUAAUUUACUUUACACGUACUUGCUGUAUAAAUCACUAUAUGUUUUUUUAAAUUGUUGUGUUGACAAUUUUUAAUACUUACUGUUACUGAAAAUUGUCUAUAUAGAUUAAUUUAUACAAAUAAACUCAAUUUUUUAUACAUAUACAACUUAUAUGACUAUACGUGACUUUAUGACUAUUAUAUUAUAUACUAUUAUUACUACUGUACUACUGUAAAAUAUAUUAUCAAUAUACAUACUAUAA